rnacentral:SRP_RNA from 1 species
ACCGGGGGUUGUGGCGUGCCCCCGUAAUCCAGCUACUAGGAGGCAGGCGCUAGACGACGGGUUGAGGCUGAGAGUUCUGCCCCAUGCUGACCUAUGUUGAUCGGGUGCCCGCGCUAAGCUGGGCGUCGAUAUGGUGGCCCAUAUGGACAGGUCGCCCAAAGGGAAGCGAAUCGGCCCGGGACGGAAACGCAGCAGGCAAGAGCACACCGCACUGCACGUUUCGGCGGCAUUAAGUGUGUUUUUUUUUUCCGCCGCUGUUACAGUAUCAGGGCGGCAAU